rnacentral:tRNA from 1 species
GAGGGCAUAGCUCAGUGGUAGAGUGUGUGCUUAGCAUGCGCAAGGUCCUGGAUUCAAUCCCUGGUACCUCCA